CUUCCCGAUUUAGUUCAUGAUUCUGAAGGCUUUGAGCCUCCAUUAGAGCCCCCCCAAACCGGAGGACGCUGAGUGGCCCUCACAGAGGAGGCUGGACCUGAGAGGUUCGACCCGAGGAGCUGCUGCAGCCCCCACGGGAGGGGUCUCUGCGCAAGCGCUACCACAGGUCCUUGCUCAGGCACAAGGGCACGGUGUGGAAGGUGACAUGGCUCAACAAGCUGUCCCCAAAGGAUCUGCUCACUUCUGUCACCCUGUGGUUCAGGUGUGACGGAGGCGGAGGGGACAGCUCACCGUCACCUGUGGUUCAGGUGUGACAGAGGCAGAGGGGACACAUGAUCAUGAAGGACUGUCACACAGCACAGCAGGAUCGUUUUUCAUGCAUGGGGCCCCAUUUGGGGCUAUAUAAGCAGCUUCUUGAUGAAAGAAGGGACAUAUUUAAGCAGCAGAAACGGUGUCUGUACGUCAGUGUCAAAGAAGUAAAUGUACGAUCAUGAGCCA